rnacentral:rRNA from 1 species
UACGGAGGGUGCAAGCGUUAUCCGGAUUUACUGGGUUUAAAGGGUGCGUAGGUGGGUUGGUAAGUCAGUGGUGAAAUCCCCGAGCUUAACUUGGGAACUGCCAUUGAUACUAUCAGUCUUGAAUAUUGUGGAGGUUGGCGGAAUAUGUCAUGUAGCGGUGAAAUGCUUAGAUAUGACAUAGAACACCAAUUGCGAAGGCAGCUGGCUACGCAUAUAUUGACACUGAGGCACGAAAGCGUGGGGAUCAAACAGG